rnacentral:rRNA from 1 species
GAUGAACGCUGGCGGCGUGCUUAACACAUGCAAGUCGAACGAAGCACUUUUAAUUCUUCGGAAGGGGAAGUGACUGAGUGGCGGACGGGUGAGUAACGCGUGGGUAACCUGCCUUAUACAGGGGGAUAACAGUUAGAAAUGACUGCUAAUACCGCAUAAGCCGAUAGAGUCGCAUGACUUAGUCGGAAAAGAUUUAUCGGUAUAAGAUGGACCCGCGUCUGAUUAGCUAGUUGGUGAGGUAAUGGCCCACCAAGGCGACGAUCAGUAGCCGGCUUGAGAGAGUGAACGGCCACAUUGGGACUGAGACACGGCCCAAACUCCUACGGGAGGCAGCAGUGGGGAAUAUUGCACAAUGGGGGAAACCCUGAUGCAGCAACGCCGCGUGAAGGAAGAAGUAUUUCGGUAUGUAAACUUCUAUCAGCAGGGAAGAAAAUGACGGUACCUGACUAAGAAGCCCCGGCUAACUACGUGCCAGCAGCCGCCGUAA